CAAAGAGUAGCUUAAUAAAAGCAUCUUAUUUACACUAAGAAUAUAUCUGCUAAACCAGGUCCCUUUGU
rnacentral:tRNA from 1 species